rnacentral:rRNA from 1 species
GUAUCUGCCCUGUAGUGGGGGAUAACCCGCCNUNAAAANGGGCUAAUACCGCAUACGCUCUUUUAUCGUUGAGAUAGGAGAGGAAAGCGAGGGACCGAAAGGCCUCNCCCUAGANGAUGAGCCUACGUCCGAUUAGCUAGUUGGUAGGGUAAAGGCCUACCAAGGCGACGAUCGGUAGCUGGUCUGAGAGGAUGGNCAGCCACACUGGGACUGAGACACGGCCCANACUCCUACGGGAGGNAGCAGUGGGGAAUAUUGGACAAUGGGGGAAACCCUGAUCCAGCGAUGCCGCGUGGGUGAAGAAGGCCUGNGGGUUGUAAAGCCCUUUCAGUGGGGAAGANAAACGGAGUGUGAACAGCGCUUCGUCUUGACGUUACCCACAGAANAAGCACCNGNUAACUCCNUGCCAGCAGCCGCGGUANUANNGAGGGUGCGAGUCGUUAAUCGNAAUCNCUGGGCGUUAAAGAGCGCGUANGGCGGUUUAGGUAANUCNGAUGUGNAAGCCCCUGGGCUUUAACC